rnacentral:tRNA from 1 species
GGUUGUGGCUCAGUGGUAGAGCGCUUGUCUAGCACACGUGAGGUGCUGGGUUCGAUCCUCAGCACCA